GCCGGAGUGGCGGAAUAGGCAGACGCAAGGGACUUAAAAUCCCUCGGAUGAGCAAUCCAUGUGGGUUCGAUUCCCACCUCCGGCACCA
rnacentral:tRNA from 1 species